AAACAACUUAUGAUUUGAUUCUGUAUGAAAACUCACUCAUUAAGAUGAAUGGAAUUUCUUAGAUCGCCUGUCAGAACGUAAGGGUAAGUGUAAAAAUAGUGGCUUCCAAAACUAUUAGACUACUCUAUACUAAUUUGUGUACUUUUAAUCUUUGAACUAGAUAGCUGUAUAAUUUCAAAUAUAAAGAGGUGCUUAGAUCACUGGAUGGACAUUUAAACCACAGCAACAGUAGAGACAGAGAGUAAGUUUGUGACUUAUUUCCUCUUGGUCCACUUAGGCGUAACACAAGGUGUCCACAUUUCGUGCCAGAGUUUAAUCUUUUAAAAUAGGAUCACUUAACAAGAUACAUUAGUUCCAACCAAGCUAUUCAGAUUAAAAAGACUUCUCAUAUACCUUUUCACCACAGAAGAGCUGUUGACUGCAGACUUCAUAUUCAGCUAACUUGUGCUCAACUCUGUUGAUGGUAAAAAGCAAAACUUUUGAGAUUUAUUUGGUGGAACAGAAACAGAACAGGUCUAAUGAGCUUGUUGUAACCUGUGAUAGAAGGCAGCACAGGAGUCCACGUGAUCUGGAGUUUGUUCUGGAAUGGCUGAUACUUUCCUGGUGGAAACACAUUUAUGGGCCCACACAGAAACAGAAGUGGCAGAAAUGUAAUGCAUGAGAAUGAGUGGUGAAACUUGCUGCUUUAACAACUUGGAAAUGAAAACAUAAUGUGAGAGCCUCUGUUCACAAACAAGAUCUGUGAGUCAAUUCAUAAAAAGGAAAGCCAUCUCUGGUGUCACUGCGUAGUGUUCAGUUUUAAUAAACAUUUAAUUGAUCCAAGUCUUUACCUCA
rnacentral:lncRNA from 1 species